CUGGCGGCGUGCUUAAUACAUGCAAGUCAAGGAGAAAAGAUAUCUUCGGACGUCUGAGUAAACUGGCGAACGGGUGAGUAACACGUAGGUAACCUGCCCUCGAGACUGGGAUAACAUCGCCAACGCGAUGCUAAUACCGGAUAAAGCACAGGAUUCGCAUGGAUUUUGUGUUAAAGUUGGCUUCGGCUUGCACUUGAGGAUGGACCUGCGCCCCAUUAGUUAGUUGGUGAGAUAACGGCUCACCAAGACUGCGAUGGGUAGCCGGCCUGAGAGGGUGAUCGGCCACACUGGGACUGAGAUACGGCCCAGACUUCUACGGAAGGCAGCAGUAAGGAAUAUUGCGCAAUGGUCGAAAGACUGACGCAGCAACGCCGCGUGCAGGAUGAAGCUUCUAGGAGUGUAAACUGCUUUUAGUUGGGAAGAACAGACAGGUUUCGAAUAGGGACUUGUUUUGACGGUACCUUUAGAAAAAGCCCCGGCUAACUCCGUGCCAGCAGCCGCGGUAACACGGGGGGGGCAAGCGUUGUCCGGCAAUUAUUGGGCGUAAAGGGCGCGCAGGCCGGGAUGAUCAGUCUGAGGUGAAAUCUUUUGGCUUAACCGAAAGCUUGCCUUGGAUACUGUCAUUCUUGAGUUCGGAAGAGGGAAGUGGAAUUCCUGCGUGUAGCGGUGAAAUGCGUAGAUAUCAGGAAGAACACCGGUUGCGAAGGCGGCUUCCUGGUCCGAUACUGACGCUGAGGCGCGAAAGCGUGGGGAGCGAACAGGAUUAGAUACCC
rnacentral:rRNA from 1 species